rnacentral:rRNA from 1 species
AAAUAGCCGCAGUAUUUUGACUGUGCGAAGGUAGCAUAAUCAUUUGUCUUUUAAUUGAAGGCUUGUAUGAAUGGUUGGAUGAAGGAGUAUCUUUCUUUAUAUUAAAUAUUGAAUUUAAUUUUUUAGUUAAAAAGCUUAAAUUUAUAAAUGGGACGAGAAGACCCUAUAGAAUUUUACUUUUUUUAUUAUAAAUUUAUUUUUUAGAUUUUAUAAUAUUUAAUAUAUUAAUUUUGUUGGGGUGACAAUGAGAUUAAAUUAACUCUCAUAUAUAUUUUAUUAUAUAUUUAUAUUUAUAAGAUCCUAUAUUAAGGAUAAAUAGAUUAAAUUACCUUAGGGAUAACAGCGUAAUUUUUCUGGAGAGUUCUUAUCAAUAGAAGAGUUUGCGACCUCGAUGUUGGAUUAAAAUUAGAUUUAA